UUGACCUCAAAUCAGGUAGGACUACCCGCUGAACUUAAGCAUAUCAAUAAGCGGAGGAAAAGAAACUAACAAGGAUUCCCCUAGUAACUGCGAGUGAAGCGGGAAAAGCUCAAAUUUAAAAUCUGGUGGUCUUUGGCCAUCCGAGUUGUAAUCUAGAGAAGUGUUAUCCGCGCUGGACCGUGUACAAGUCCCCUGGAAUGGGGC
rnacentral:rRNA from 1 species